AUUGCCCUCGAAUAACCGGAAGGUGGAAUUUAUAUAAACCCACAUUUGGUUCAGACAGGGGCAUAUAUCAUCUGGAAGUGGUUUAAGGAGGAGGAAUAGCUUGUUUAUCCUUUUCCUUGAUCUUUUUUAAAAGAUAGCUUCGAACAUUG